AUGGCAACCUGGGAUGAUAUGUGGUCACAUUUUACUCUUUCUGAAGAAGAAGUGCACGGGGCUGAUGUCCCAAGCAACAAAGAUGAAAGUGUCCAUCGUCUUGCAGGUAAAUUCCUUACCAAACAUUUCAUUAACGCAGAAGCAGUAGCACGAACCUUUAAGCCCUUAUGGAAACCUGUGGGUGAACUGAAAAUUCGGGAUGUUGGAGGGAAUGUUUUGGUGUUUGAGUUUGAUGAUGUUUUAGAUCUUGAAAGGGUUUUAGAGUUUGAACCCUGGUCAUAUGAUAAAAGUUUAGUGAUUUUCCAAAGAACUGAAUCCGUGGAAAUAGCACCAUCCCUAGAUUUCUCUGUGACAUCUUUUUGGGUGCAACUCCAUAAUGUACCAGAAAAGAGCCUAACGCAGGAAACUGGGGCAGCAGUAGGUAACAUCAUAGGGACUACGAUCAGAGUCGCGGACCCAGAAGACGAUGGAGAGGGUUGCGAAUAUCUUCGGGUGAGGGUGGCCAUGAACAUCACUAAACCCCUACCUCGUUGCUGCAAACUCAAGAGUGAAGGUAAGCAUAUUGGUUGGGCCCUCUUGAAGUUUGAACGCCUCCCAAACUUCUGUUACUGGUGUGGGAGGGUAAACCAUACUGAGAAAGAUUGUGAGACUUGGCUAAAGGAUAGAGAGAAACUUGGAAAAGAGGACCAGCAGUUUGGUGAAUGGAUGCAGGCUGAUCAGUUCAAACCGGUUCGUAAAUCCGUAAUUGUGAUAGCAGGUAGUUCCCGUGGUUCUUCAAGAUGGAAGAAAGGUCCUUCAAUGCCAAAGGAUCCAGCUGUCGAUCCUAAUGUAACGAGUCCUAGCUCACCAACAAACUUUUCAGAUGUGAUAGUGGAAGCCGAGCCACCUGUGGAGCAUGUAGCUGCUAUUCCUGCUUCGACCUUUGCAUGUGGGGGUCCGGUUCUAAGGCAAGAGAAGGAAAAGGUGAUUGAGGGUUUGUAUGAAGGAGUAGCUAAGUUAGGCCGUGAAGCUCAGAAGGUAGCACAUCAAUCCAACGCCCACACUGACCUGAAACAGGGUGAUGGGAAGCCUAUUCGAAAAAAGGGAGAACUAGGGAUUCAAAGUGCCAGAAACCCGUUACAGGACUUGUCCAAUUUUCAAACUAACCAACCUGAACAGGCAACCAUCAGGACUUGGAAAAAAUUGGCCCGUGAGGUCAAUCCACAACAGGAAAAUUUUAAUAGUCCUACUAGUAUGGAACGUAGACCCUUGAUGGAGUUGGAUGAGCCACAACCAGUGAAAAGGAGAUGUAUGCAGACUAGGGAGGUGAUCAUGAAGGAAAACUGUGAGGCGGAGGCUGGUUGCCAGCUCCGCCAGAGCCAAUGAGUUGUUUAAGCUGGAACUGUCGUGGGCUUGGGAACCCACAGACAGUUGAUGAAUUGGUUACCUUAGUUGGUAAAAAAGAUCCCACGGUGGUGUUCCUCAUGGAAACUAAGUCUACUAGUGAAGUUAUUGAGAAAAUUCGCAGGAAAAUUCAGUUUGCUCACAAGUUUGUUGUUCCACGGCCGAAUCAAGGUGGCGGUUUGGCUUUACUUUGGAAAGAAGAUAUUCAGUUAGAUGUUCAGACUUCAUCUGACAACCACAUCGAUGCAGUAGUUGACCUAGGGAUGGAUGACGCCUGGCGGAUCACAGGUUUCUAUGGAAACCCAGACUCUGCCAGCCGGGAAGAUUCCUGGUCUCUACUACGUGACUUAAGCUGUCGUUUCUCUCUACCAUGGGUGUGUAUUGGGGACUUUAAUGAAAUUCUGAGAGCAGAAGAAAAACAAGGGUGGCUUGAUAGACCAGAGCGUCAAAUGCAGGGGUUUCGAGAUGCUUUAGACUUUUGUAGUCUCAAAGACAUUGGUUAUUCCGGUUUCCCUUUUACAUGGUGUAAUCGUAGACCUGGAGAACAUAAUGUUUGAGAUUAGAUAGAGGUGUAGCUACAGUGGAUUGGAUGCUAAAGUUUCCCACUACCCGUGUGCACCAUUUGGAGGCAUUUCAUUCGGAUCAUAGACCACUACUACUGGUUUCGGAUUCUGAGGUUAGGAGAUUUUAUCGAAAGGGUCGUCCCUUCAGAUUUGAAGCAAUGUGGCUUAAGGAAAAAUCUUGUGAAACGGUGAUUAAAACUUCUUGGGAAACUCCUUUGGGCUCUUCUCCGGUUGCUACUUUAUCACAGAAAACUGACCUUUGCCAAAUAAAUCUCCGUGUUUGGAACCGCAACACUUUUGGGCUACCACUACUACUGGUUUCGGAUUCUGAGGUUAGGAGAUUUUAUCGAAAGGGUCGUCCCUUCAGAUUUGAAGCAAUGUGGCUUAAGGAAAAAUCUUGUGAAACGGUGAUUAAAACUUCUUGGGAAACUCCUUUGGGCUCUUCUCCGGUUGCUACUUUAUCACAGAAAACUGACCUUUGCCAAAUAAAUCUCCGUGUUUGGAACCGCAACACUUUUGGGCAUGUGCGUAUUAAUCUUGAAAAGAAGUUGAAGGAGCUGCAUAUGGCGGAAGAGAUGGGGCUGUACAGCACCGAUCCAAGCUGUAUUGGGCAGCUUCGUGA
rnacentral:sRNA from 1 species